UGGAGAGGUGACAGAGUGGUUGAAUGUGGCGGUCUCGAAAACCGUUGUACGUGAAAGCGUACCGAGGGUUCGAAUCCUCUCUCUCCGCC
rnacentral:tRNA from 1 species